UCAUGGGAAAUAAAUUUCAUCAUGUUUUUCUAACAAAUUAGGCUCAAGAACGACCAUGGAUGAAGAGAGGGAGAGAGAGAGAGAAGGAAAUAUUUAUAGAGUAAAGUGAACAUUGGCGAGACUUCUUUUUUUUGGUACAUACGGACGGUCACAUCACUCUGGCGUGAGAGCAAUCCAGAAAGUCAAAAUACAAAUUUCUACAGGAUCGAUAGGAUACUCUCACCCUGUUGCCAAGCUCAAUCUCC
rnacentral:lncRNA from 1 species